CGGGAUUAGUCCCGUGGGAAUGUAGCUUUUGUAAUAAUUAGAAGCCAAAAGCUGAACCGUGAA
rfam:Methanolobus tindarius DSM 2278 MettiDRAFT_Contig28.1_C, whole genome shotgun sequence.